rnacentral:lncRNA from 1 species
AUUUAAAUUUUCCAUUAGCAUAGAAUGGGUGUCGAUUAAAUCCCUUUCAGCGUGGGAAUCCGUGAGGAAAAAAAAAAACAAAAAAACAAAAAAAACCCAAAAACCAACACUCCGCAAGCCCUUGCUCAAAUCUCCAACUGUUAGGUUCGACUACCCUGUGCCUGCAAAGAGAAAGAUAGUAAGUUUGCUGGGUGCCUAUUUUUUUUUUUUUUUUUAACAGCAAGACUUUUUUUUUUUUUUUUUUAAAGCCAUUUCAUCUCUGAGAGAUUCAAUGACCAUGUUUGAUGACAAGCCAGAUGGCAGCCGUUCUCCAGACCCGGUGCCAAGAAGCGUGACAGGAGCCGCAAUUUACCUUGCGCGGUGGAGGCCGGCUACAGAAGCGCCCCCGCAGCUGCGGGCCAGCAGGGCUGCUGCCGGUAGGUGCGCCCGCCCGCUUGGUUCCCUCCCAAUUUGGAUGGAGCAGGUAAACAAUACCAUGGGAAGGGGAAGUUUGGAAAGACGGAGCAAACAUAACCAAUCCGUCGACUGUUCCAGGAAGAAAUGUUUUUGUGGUAGAGUCCAUUAGGGAUUCAAUAGAGGCAAGUAACCACAAGAAACCAACCAGCCCCCCUCCCCUAAAGGUGGCAUUCAGUACUGACCUACUAAAAAGAUAAACACCAAACACAUUUGUUAUCCCAGAGGCUGGGGCUUGCCCUGUACUAAAACAAUCUGGAAACUGUGGGCACCAGCCUCCUAUCUUGUGCUACCUCUAUGACAACAUCGGU